UCAGUAGGUGGGCUUUUCUUAGAAACUCUCUUUUUCUCUUCAUUCAAAACAAGGUCACGAAGAUGUGUCUUCUUUUCAAUGUAGUGAGACAGAUCAGCAAAUUAAAAAAAGAAAACCUGACUGUGGGAAUAUGGAAGACUAUGGGACUGUGGGAGAAUGUCAUGAUCCAUGCGAGCCCACUGCUGGUCCUGAGGUCCAGAGGCCAGAAGUCCCAAAUUAAGGUGUUGGCAGAGCCACGGUCUCUCUGAAGACUUUAGCAGGUGAUCCUUCCUUGCUUCUUCCUAGCUUCUAGUGGCUCAUGGCAGCCCUUGGUGUCACUUCAUUUAUACAUGCUUCAUUCCCAUUUCUGCC
rnacentral:lncRNA from 10 species